CGGAAAGCCAUUCAACGAGUGAGAAUGUGAAAAAGUUCUCAGCGCAUUGAGAGCAGAAAGUUGGAAGCUCCAGUGAAAGUCCCGAGAGCUCUUCAUAUUUAUAGUCAAGAGUUGUAAUUCAAUUUUACGCUCUAAUUGAGACUCGACUUGACGAGAACUCGAGGUAAAACCAUAUUAAUCUCCCUUGCGUUGGGAAACGUUCUAGGUCAAAAUUGCAGUAGUAGAAAAAAGCGACUGCAGGAAUAGUAAUGAGAAUGCCAACGUGGAAGAGGCAGCCCGUCACCUGGAUCCAAUCUUGCUGCAAAUAAGUAGGACAAAUCUCGCACAUAAUGUGGCAUGGCAAAAUUGUGACUGCGAGCUUCCAGCGUUCCCUCUAUUUCCAGAAGAGAAACCAGACAUCCUCUGCUUUGAAACCGUCCCUCUUUGAAGAAGGGAAGUGAAAUUGAAAAAGGCACUGCAGUU